rnacentral:rRNA from 1 species
UACGUAGGGGGCGAGCGUUGUCCGGAGUUACUGGGCGUAAAGCGCACGCAGGCGGUCUGCUAAGUUUGGAGUGACAGUUGGUGGCUUAACUGCCAAAGUGCUUCGAAAACUGACAGACUUGAGGGCUUCAGAGGGACACGGAAUUCCGGGUGGAGUGGUGAAAUGCGUAGAGAUCCGGAGGAACACCAAAGGCGAAGGCAGUGUCCUGGGGAGUACCUGACGCUCAGGUGCGAAAGCCAGGGGAGCGCACGGG